GCCAAUGAACUGUCACUCAGAUCAACGGAUCAGAUCAAAUGUUCUGCCGAGCAGACGCAUGCUGUGGUCUGCCAAUACCAGGUCCGCGUCCCCUUGAUCUCGCGAAUCACACCAGCAGAAGCCCCAAUUUGCGGAUCUAUUCCACCCGAGGUUGAUGAGCUGGUUAUGCCCGAGAAUUCCUCCGUUCCAAAUCCAGUGCUUUCCAUCUUCCCAUAAGAAUUGCCCUGCCUCCUCCAUGCAAGCUCAAUGCCAUCAUAAUACCAUGCCGCCCCCACGUGAGCUCAGCGCCGCCGCAUUCCUGUAUCGCGCCCACGCCUGUCAGAGGCCGCCGUGAUGCGAGAUCCGCGCUCCCACCAUCACGCGUGCCCCGUGCCCUACAUCCCCAGGCUAACUCCUAUAAUGGAUCCCGGGGGGUCCUAUCCUCUGGCGCCAAAGGGGACGGCGGCCUGAAGAACGACAAGUCUCAGAGGAGGAUGAGCGGCGGGUGUAGUUGGUGCUCAACCGGGAGAGCGCGCACCUAUGACUUCAGAGGAAGAAGCAGCGCUCACCGCCACCCUUCACUGCGUCCACCGCCUUCCCCUAGUGGCGCGAGGCGCCUCACCGGCCGGAUCCGCUCGAUUUGGACACACCGCUACCACAUCCCUCGAGGUAACUGGAGUACUAGAUUGUGUGUAAACUGCCUCCAUGGCUCCACCACGCCCCAGUCUCACGGCGUCAGCUGCGUGAACGCGACCACUAUCGAUCCAUCCAGUUGCAGAUGCGCCAGCCUUAACACCAUCUCCUUCCACAUGCUGGCGUGCUACUCGCGUGGACGCUCGUCACGAUCUGGAUGUCGCGCCGCCUCAGCAGCCUGACGCCACCCAUGAAUCAGCAACUGGGUAGUGGACCAAUUGAACUGAUUUGAGAGGAUUGUGCUUUGAUUUUCCGACCUCUUGCAGCUUGACGACGAGGAAGAGAUGGAUCUGCCUCUGUUGCUGGGAGAUGGACAAUGACUUUUGGUGCUAUUUCCUAAAUAAGAUAUACACAUGUCUUCACACCGCCAUCUCUGUUGCGCCCAUAACGCAAGCUCCGGUGGCGCCGCGAUGUUGGUCCGCGAAGAGGACACAAACACUAUAGCUCUGAACUCCAUGGCAGACAUUGCUCUCAUUCUGUUGCUAUUGUUGUGGAGCGCCGAGGGCGCAUGUCCCAUGGCCGCUGGUUCUCCCAGUCAGGGGACGCAAAAUCUGCCACUGUCGUUUCUCUCUGUGCGCUGGUAUGUUUUGUGUGUGAUUUGGAGUUUGGCAACUAGCAUGAUGCGAGAAAAAACAUCAGUGGAUACCUCCCAUCAAUUGUUGAAAGUUGGUUUGUUACUUUAGACUGACGACUGAAUCCACAGGUAAUGUUUGCAGUAAUAAAAUAACAACCUUCAUUGCAUGACAAGUUCUACCUGAAUCUCAUGGUUUGUCUUCACACAAUGUUCUCUUAGUUGGUUUGCAGCAUGCAGCAAGGUGAGCAACAAAUCAUCAUCGUGAGAUUUCUUUUCUAAGUGCUGAAGAAAGCUACUAAGCAAGUUCAUGUAUGUAUAGUAGUUCUAGUUGCUGCUUUUAGAGAAGCUCCAGUUGUAGGUCAUAAAUUGCUUGGAAAAAUGCAACAUCGAUGCUAUCAUCCUGACGAGACUAUGACCGGUGAUGCAGAUUAUUUUGUAUGCUGAUGGUGCCAUGGCGGCUGCAUGCCGGAGGGCUGCAUACUCGACUUCUACAUCGCCGUCUUCAACAAGGAUAAGAUCUCCCUCGCUAGUCACGACGAGGUCCGCGCCAGCACUCCCAUUCCCAUUCUUUCUCCCUCCCUAGGAAUUGGGGUUUCUAUUGCUUUUUUUUGUUUGGUGUGUACCUCUGCAGUAUAUGGUGGCGGGCGAGCGGAACUUCUUUCCACUGCUCCUGGAGGCGUCAAGCCCUCUCUAGUGAUCGGAUGGGAGUGCCAGGUUCAGUCCCAUCUUGGCUUUAGUAUGUCUCUCUACUUCUAUUCUACUGAAUAUUGUUCUUGGAGCUUCAAAGGCAAUUGCUUUACUGGUGAACAUGUGUAGGAGGAUUUGUGGUUUAGCAUUAUUAGACCUCUGUAAAUGCAUGUCUAGGAGGUUUCUUGGAGCUGCAGUGUAUUAUGUAAGUCCAUCAAAGCUAUUUGCUUUAUUGGUGAACAUGUAUAGGAGGAUUCAUUGUUAGACCUCUGUACAUACAUGUUUGCACUGUCCUAUAAAAAGACUCUCCUUUGGUGGUGAGCAUAAAAAGGAAGAAAGUUACUACUCACAAUAAAAUUUAAUUGGGUAAACUGUAGAAGCUAACUUUGUUAGAGAAAGGUUCAUAACCCACCCUUUCUUUCUUGCAGGAUUGAGAAGAUUGUGACUUUGAAACCUUUUAGAUGUACAGAAAGAAACCAGAUUGUGUUUGUACAUAAUGAUGGUGAGAAGAUCAAAUAUAUGGUAUGGGAAGUGGUUUCACUGAUUGUACUUGUACAACAAAAGAGCAGAUUGUGUUUCCUUUUAGAAGAUAACUUUUGUCGGCAAUUGUGUUGCUUGCAAGCAGAAUAUUUAUUGUAUUGUGUUGCUUGCAAAAGAAUUUAAUAUUGUAUACGGUGCUACAUGUCAUAAUAUUUUUAGUUUCUGUUAGUUCUGUUUAUUUGCAUCUUGUGCUUUUAGUCCAUGGACACAUGCAACAUAUGGAACCACAAACUAGGUGUAAUCCGAUGUUCCCUUGGUAGAACCUGCUUUGAGAAAAUAGUACCAAGUGUUCCAAGCUUUGCACUAUCUUUUGGUGAUUAUUUUGUUGUUCUGUAAAUAAAGGGAAACUGCACCACACUCAUCAUGCAAUUUGAUA